AUUGAACGCUGGCGGCAUGCUUUACACAUGCAAGUCGAACGGUAACAGGGAGCUUGCUCCGCUGACGAGUGGCGAACGGGUGAGUAAUGCAUCGGAACGUACCCAGUCGUGGGGGGAUAACGUAGCGAAAGUUACGCUAAUACCGCAUAUUCUGUGAGCAGGAAAGCAGGGGAUCGCAAGACCUUGCGCUGAUUGAGCGGCCGAUAUCAGAUUAGCUAGUUGGUGAGGUAAAGGCUCACCAAGGCGACGAUCUGUAGCGGGUCUGAGAGGAUGAUCCGCCACACUGGAACUGAGACACGGUCCAGACUCCUACGGGAGGCAGCAGUGGGGAAUUUUGGACAAUGGGGGCAACCCUGAUCCAGCCAUGCCGCGUGAGUGAAGAAGGCCUCGGUUGUAAG
rnacentral:rRNA from 1 species